rnacentral:rRNA from 1 species
CCUACGGGAGGCAGCAGUGAGGAAUAUUGGUCAAUGGACGAGAGUCUGAACCAGCCAAGUCGCGUGAAGGAUGAAUGCCCUAUGGGUUGUAAACUUCUUUUAUAUGGGAAUAAAAUGUUCCACUUGUGGGAUUUUGUAUGUACCAUAUGAAUAAGGAUCGGCUAACUCCGUGCCAGCAGCCGCGGUAAUACGGAGGAUCCGAGCGUUAUCCGGAUUUAUUGGGUUUAAAGGGAGCGUAGGCGGGUUGUUAAGUCAGUUGGUAAAGUGUGGGGGUCAACCGGAAGAGUGCAGUUGAAACUGGCGGUCUGGAGUAGAGUAGAGGUGGGCGGAAUGCGUGGUGUAGCGGUGAAAUGCUUAGAUAUCACGAAGAACUCCGAUUGCGAAGGCAGCUCACUGGACUGCAACUGACACUGAGGCUCGAAAGUGUGGGUAUCAAACAGGAUUAGAUACCCUUGUAGUC